AGCAGCCGCGGUAAUUCCAGCUCCAAUAGCGUAUAUUAAAGUUGUUGCAGUUAAAAAGCUCGUAGUUGAAUUUCGGGGUUAGUAGGUUGGUCAUGCCUCUGGUAUGUACUGGUCUCACUGAUUCCUCCUUCCUGAUGAGCCGUAAUGCCAUUAAUUUGGUGGUUGCGGGGAAUUUGGACUGUUACUUUGAAAAAAUUAGAGUGUUUAAAGCAAGCUAACGCUUGAAUACAUUAGCAUGGAAUAAUGAAAUAGGACGUUCGAUCCUAUUUUGUUGGUUUCUAGGAUUGACGUAAUGAUUAAUAGGGAUAGUUGGGGGCAUUAGUAUUCAAUUGUCAGAGGUGAAAUUCUUGGAUUUAUUGAAGACUAACUACUGCGAAAGCAUUUGCCAAGGAUGUUUUCAUUAAUCAAGAACGAAAGUUAGGGGAUCGAAGACGAUCAGAUACCGUCGUAGUCUUAACCAUAAACUAUGCCGACUAGGGAUCGGAUGAUGUUAAUUUUUUAAUGACUCUAUUCGGCGCCU
rnacentral:rRNA from 1 species